GAUACUAUUUUCAAAGCAUUUCAAAAUGUUACCUUUUCAGUCUCACUAGUAAACAAAAUUUCUGGAAAAAGAAACUUUCAAUCUAAAAAGUAAUUAUUAUGUGUUAGAAACCGUGUCAUUAUCUGCUACCGGCUGAACAAGUUUAUGAAAUCUUUAUACUAAGGGAGGAUUUUCCACUCAAAAAAGAAAAAAAUGUCUUUUAUUAGCACAUACUCUCGUUGAUAUUGAGAAAAGCACACUGUUUCAUAAAGGCUCUGUAAAUCUAGCUGAACAGGUUGAUUUUAAAAUACCAAUAUACACAUUACCAACGAUCGACCUUCAACAUUUUCUCGCAAUGCGUCCCACAACAGAAAUAUGGUACGACGAGGACGAUUACUUUUUAAAAAAUUAUUUAGAAAUAUUGGAAUCUACAAUGAAAGAAACAAGUUGGAAAAUGAGGCCACCUAUAUUAGAAGAAUUGAAAGUUACAGUAGCAACAGAAAGUGUAGCGGCAGGCAUUGACACGCUCCUGGAUCAUAAAAUCAUUGUAAAACUAAUAGGAGCAAAAUUAACAGAUAUUUUUUUAACUAACCAAGUCUAU